GAUUAACGCUGGCGGCAUGCCUAAUACAUGCAAAUCGAACGAAGCCUUUUGGCUUAGUGGUGAACGGGUGAGUAACACGUAUCCAAUCUACCCUUAAGUUUGGGAUAACUAGUCGAAAGAUUAGCUAAUACCGGAUAAUAACAUUCACUUGCAUGAGUGAAUGUGGAAAGUUGCGUUUGCAACGCUUUUGGAUGAGGGUGCGACGUAUCAGAUAGUUGGUGAGGUAACGGCUCACCAAGUCAUUGACGCGUAGCUGUACUGAGAGGUAGAACAGCCACAAUGGGACUGAGACACGGCCCACU
rnacentral:rRNA from 1 species